AGAGUUUGAUCCUGGCUCAGAGCGAACGCUGGCGGCAGGCCUAACACAUGCAAGUCGAGCGCCCCGGCAAGGGGAGCGGCAGACGGGAGAGUAAGCACGUGGGAACGUACCCUUCAGAUUCGGAACAACCCAGGGGAAACUUGGGCUAAUACCGAAUACGUCCGUAAGGAGAAAGAUUUAUCGGCCUGAAGGAUCGGCCCGCGUCUGAUUAGCUAGUUGGUAGGGUAACGGCCUACCAAGGGCGGACGAUCCGUAGCCUGGUCUGGAGAGGACGACCCGCCCCACUGGGACUGAGACACGGCCCAGACUCCUACGGGAGGCAGCAGUGGGGAAUAUUGGACAAUGGGGGAAACCCUGAUCCAGCGACGCCGCGUGUGUGAAAGAAGGCCUGCGGGUUGUAAAGCACUUUUAGUGGGGAUGAAAAGCCUAGGGAUAACA
rnacentral:rRNA from 1 species